rnacentral:rRNA from 1 species
CAGUAGCCGCGGUAAUACAGAUGGUGCAAGCGUUAAUCGGAAUUACUGGGCGUAAAGCGCGCGUAGGUGGUUUGUUAAGUUGGAUGUGAAAUCCCCGGGCUCAACCUGGGAACUGCAUCCAAAACUGGCAAGCUAGAGUAUGGUAGAGGGUGGUGGAAUUUCCUGUGUAGCGGUGAAAUGCGUAGAUAUAGGAAGGAACACCAGUGGCGAAGGCGACCACCUGGACUGAUACUGACACUGAGGUGCGAAAGCGUGGGGAGCAAACAGGAUUAGAUACCCCAGUAGUCCCUGUCUCUUAUAC